UACACUCCUACGGGAGGCAGCAGUGGGGAAUUUUGGACAAUGGGCGAAAGCCUGAUCCAGCCAUGCCGCGUGCAGGAUGAAGGCCUUCGGGUUGUAAACUGCUUUUGUACGGAACGAAACGGCCUUUUCUAAUAAAGAGGGCUAAUGACGGUACCGUAAGAAUAAGCACCGGCUAACUACGUGCCAGCAGCCGCGGUAAUACGUAGGGUGCAAGCGUUAAUCGGAAUUACUGGGCGUAAAGCGUGCGCAGGCGGUUAUGUAAGACAGUUGUGAAAUCCCCGGGCUCAACCUGGGAACUGCAUCUGUGACUGCAUAGCUAGAGUACGGUAGAGGGGGAUGGAAUUCCGCGUGUAGCAGUGAAAUGCGUAGAUAUGCGGAGGAACACCGAUGGCGAAGGCAAUCCCCUGGACCUGUACUGACGCUCAUGCACGAAAGCGUGGGGAGCAAACAGGAUUAGAUACCCGGGUAGUCCCA
rnacentral:rRNA from 1 species